rnacentral:rRNA from 1 species
UACGUAGGGUGCAAGCGUUAAUCGGAAUUACUGGGCGUAAAGCGUGCGCAGGCGGUUGGGCAAGACAGAUGGGAAAUCCCCGGGCUCAACCUGGGAACUGCAUUUGUGACUGCACGGCUAGAGUGUGUCAGAGGGGGGUAGAAUUCCACGUGUAGCAGUGAAAUGCGUAGAUAUGUGGAGGAAUACCGAUGGCGAAUGCAGCCCCCUGGGAUAACACUGACGCUCAUGCACGAAAGCGUGGGGAGCAAACAGG